AGCAUGUGGUUUAAUUCGAUGCAACGCGAAGAACCUUACCUACUCUUGACAUCCAGAGAACUUUCCAGAGAUGGAUUGGUGCCUUCGGGAACUCUGAGACAGGUGCUGCAUGGCUGUCGUCAGCUCGUGUUGUGAAAUGUUGGGUUAAGUCCCGCAACGAGCGCAACCCUUAUCCUUUGUUGCCAGCGGUUCGGCCGGGAACUCAAAGGAGACUGCCAGUGAUAAACUGGAGGAAGGGGGGGAUGACGUCAAGUCAUCAUGGCCCUUACGAGUAGGGCUACACACGUGCUACAAUGGCGUAUACAAAGAGAAGCGACCUCGCGAGAGCAAGCGGACCUCAUAAAGUACGUCGUAGUCCGGAUUGGAGUCUGCAACUCGACUCCAUGAAGUCGGAAUC
rnacentral:rRNA from 1 species